GACUGAAUUAGUGAUUGGUCUGGCAUUUACUAGGAGAAAUGUAUGUCACUAACUAAAGAAGAAACAGCAAGCAUUGUUGCUGAAUACGGU
rnacentral:ncRNA from 1 species